rnacentral:lncRNA from 1 species
GAUCACUGAUUUAAGAAGAAGAAGGCUGAAAUUCUUGUGAAUUUAGCAAUUUUCUCUUUUAAAUCCCUCCUUUUGUCAUGUGCCCGCAUAAUACUUUAUGAAGUAAAAGCUUGUCAAACAAGUUGGAGAAAAAAACGGUCUUGGAAUAUUAUUGAGAAAGAAAUCCAGGCAAUCAAAUGAUGGUUGCUGAGAAAAGAACCACAAAAAGAUGCCUACAGAGGAUCAGGA